UAAGUUGCAGGGUAUAGACCCGAAACCCGGUGAUCUAGCCAUGGGCAGGUUGAAGGUUGGGUAACACUAACUGGAGGACCGAACCGACUAAUGUUGAAAAAUUAGCGGAUGACUUGUGGCUGGGGGUGAAAGGCCAAUCAAACCGGGAGAUAGCUGGUUCUCCCCGAAAGCUAUUUAGGUAGCGCCUCGUGAAUUCAUCUCCGGGGGUAGAGCACUGUUUCGGCAAGGGGGUCAUCCCGACUUACCAACCCGAUGCAAACUGCGAAUACCGGAGAAUGUUAUCACGGGAGACACACGGCGGGUGCUAACGUCCGUCGUGAAGAGGGAAACAACCCAGACCGCCAGCUAAGGUCCCAAAGUCAUGGUUAAGUGGGAAACGAUGUGGGAAGGCCCAGACAGCCAGGAUGUUGGCUUAGAAGCAGCCAUCAUUUAAAGAAAGCGUAAUAGCUCACUGGUCGAGUCGGCCUGCGCGGAAGAUGUAACGGGGCUAAACCAUGCACCGAAGCUGCGGCAGCGACGCUUAUGCGUUGUUGGGUAGGGGAGCGUUCUGUAAGCCUGCGAAGGUGUGCUGUGAGGCAUGCUGGAGGUAUCAGAAGUGCGAAUGCUGACAUAAGUAACGAUAAAGCGGGUGAAAAGCCCGCUCGCCGGAAGACCAAGGGUUCCUGUCCAACGUUAAUCGGGGCAGGGUGAGUCGACCCCUAAGGCGAGGCCGAAAGGCGUAGUCGAUGGGAAACAGGUUAAUAUUCCUGUACUUGGUGUUACUGCGAAGGGGGGACGGAGAAGGCUAUGUUGGCCGGGCGACGGUUGUCCCGGUUUAAGCGUGUAGGCUGGUUUUCCAGGCAAAUCCGGAAAAUCAAGGCUGAGGCGUGAUGACGAGGCACUACGGUGCUGAAGCAACAAAUGCCCUGCUUCCAGGAAAAGCCUCUAAGCAUCAGGUAACAUCAAAUCGUACCCCAAACCGACACAGGUGGUCAGGUAGAGAAUACCAAGGCGCUUGAGAGAACUCGGGUGAAGGAACUAGGCAAAAUGGUGCCGUAACUUCGGGAGAAGGCACGCUGAUAUGUAGGUGAAGUCCCUCGCGGAUGGAGCUGAAAUCAGUCGAAGAUACCAGCUGGCUGCAACUGUUUAUUAAAAACACAGCACUGUGCAAACACGAAAGUGGACGUAUACGGUGUGACGCCUGCCCGGUGCCGG
rnacentral:rRNA from 1 species